AUACGUAGGGAGCGAGCGUUGUCCGGAAUUACUGGGUGUAAAGGGAGCGUAGGCGGGAUCGCAAGUCAGAUGUGAAAUACAUGGGCUUAACCCAUGGGCUGCAUUUGAAACUGUGGUUCUUGAGUGAAGUAGAGGUAAGCGGAAUUCCUGGUGUAGCGGUGAAAUGCGUAGAUAUCAGGAGGAACACCGGUGGCGAAGGCGGCUUACUGGGCUUUUACUGACGCUGAGGCUCGAAAGCGUGGGGAGCAAACAGGAUUAGAUACCCUGGUAGUCCACGCUGUAAACGAUGAUUACUAGGUGUGGGGGGACUGACCCCUUCCGUGCCGCAGUUAACACAAUAAGUAAUCCACCUGGGGAGUACGGCCGCAAGGUCGAAACUUAAAGGAAUUGACGGGG
rnacentral:rRNA from 1 species